AUGUUGUAUGAAAGGAGAGAAGGUUAGCACUCCCCUUGACAAGGAUGGAAGAGGCCCUCGGGCCUAACAACACGCAUAGGGUUAAGGACCAUGUCCCAGAGCUAAGGGAUGUGCCCUACAACUAAGUGU
rnacentral:ncRNA from 1 species